rnacentral:rRNA from 1 species
ACGGGGGGGGUAAGCGUCGUUCGGAAUUACUGGGCGUAAAGGGCUCGUAGGCGGCCAACUAAGUCAGACGUGAAAUCCCUCAGCUUAACUGGGGAACUGCGUCUGAUACUGGAUGGCUUGGAUUUGGGAGAGGGAUGCGGGAUUCCGGGUGUAGCGGUGGAAUGCGUAGAGAUCCGGAAGAACACCAGUGGCGAAGGCGGUCUGCUGGGCGGUGGGACCGAAAGGUCUCUUGAACCGACACUGAGGCGCGACAGCGUGGGGAGCAAACAGGA